UGUAUGAGGACAUCUUCAAGUAAGGGUGACAUGUUUCUCGGGUAUAGUGCAAAUGUUGUAAACAUUGCCAACAUAUUAGAUAAGGGCUUAGGCUAAACGUAUAAUAUUUGUAUUUUCAUUGUAGCUUGCAAAGAACCAUAUCGAGUAAGUUUACUCAAAACUUUUUUUCAGAAUCUGACAGCUCCUACCUUGAGCUGGUGUUCUGCUUAAUCUGGUAUGUAGCACCUGUGGGAGACCAGCGGUUAAACGGGAAGGUCGUCCUAGACAAUAGAAUAAUCAGAGCCAGGUGGCAAAGUUCAGGUUUCAUUUCUGUGUGAGGACAUCUUCAAGUAAGGGUGACAUGUUUCUCAGCUUGCAAAAAACCACAUUGAGUAAGUAUACGCAAAACACUUUUUUCAGAAUCUGACAGCUCCUACCUUGAGCUGGUAUUCUGCUUAAUCUGGUAUGUAGCACCUGUGGGAGACCAGCGGAUAAACGGGAAGGUCGUCCUAGGCAAUAGAAUAAUCAGAGCCAGGUGGCAACAAUGAUGGUGGAACUGAUAUUGGGUGAGAGUUCGGGCCUUACUGUCUUGGACCAUGGGCUCGUUAUGAGGCAUGUAAGGAGGCAACUGCCAGG